rnacentral:rRNA from 1 species
CAGCAGCCACGGGAAUACGUAGGGAGCGAGCGUUGUCCGGAUUUAUUGGGCGUAAAGAGCUCGUAGGCGGCUUGGUAAGUCGGAUGUGAAACCUCCAGGCUCAACCUGGAGUCGCCAUCCGAUACUGCCAUAGCUAGAGUCCGGUAGGGGCCCACGGAACUCCUGGUGUAGCGGUGAAAUGCGCAGAUAUCAGGAAGAACACCGGUGGCGAAGGCGGUGGGCUGGGCCGGCACUGACGCUGAGGAGCGAAAGCGUGGGGAGCGAACAGGAUUAGAUACCCCUGUAGUCCCUGUCUCUUAUA